rnacentral:rRNA from 1 species
UACGAAGGGGGCGAGCGUUGUUCGGAUUUACUGGGCGUAAAGCGCGCGUAGGCGGUGAUCUUUGUCAGAGGUGAAAGCCUGGGGCUCAACUCCAGAAUUGCCUUUGAAACGGGAUCGCUUGAGUCCGAGAGAGGAUGGCGGAAUUCCUAGUGUAGAGGUGAAAUUCGUAGAUAUUAGGAAGAACACCGGUGGCGAAGGCGGCCAUCUGGCUCGGUACUGACGCUCAGGCGCGAAAGCGUGGGGAGCAAACAGG